GUACUUGAAGGGAAACCAGAUGAAGCCAGAUGAGAGCACCCACCACCCCAGCCUCACUGCCUUUCACUUCCAGGAACUAGAACUCACCCUCCCAUUUCUCAGUCAAGCCUGCAGAUGCUGAGACCAGAGCUCAACCCUCACCUUUAGGGGGCCUGCCAAACAGAAAGAGAAAGUCUUUGGUAUGCCUGUGGGGCCAAAGGACAGAGACGUCUUCAUUUUAUAGGGAAGGUGCUUAGCCAGUUGGAAAGGGGGAAAUGGUUAGGAAAAGUGGUGUAAAG
rnacentral:lncRNA from 1 species